AAAUACUGGCGGGAGACCGAUAGCGCACAAGUAGAGUGAUCGAAAGAUGAAAAGCACUUUGGAAAGAGAGUUAAAAAGUACGUGAAAUUGUUGAAAGGGAAGCGCUUGCGACCAGACUUGCCCUCAGUUGAUCAACCGGGGAUAAACUCCGGUGCACUCUGCUGAGGUCAGGCCAGCAUCGGUUUAGGCGGUUGGAGAAAGGCCUUGGGAAUGUGGCUCCUUCCGGGGAGUGUUAUAGCCCAUGGUGCCAUGCGACCAGCCUGGACCGAGGACCGCGCCUUAGUGCUAGGAUGCUGGCGUAAUGGUCGUAAGCGACCCGUCUUGAAACACGGACCAAGGAGUCUAACAUCUAUGCGAGUGUUUGGGUGUAAAACCCACACGCGUAAUGAAAGUGAACGGAGGUGGGAACCCUUGAGGGUGCACCAUCGACCGAUCCUGAUGUCUUCGGAUGGAUUUGAGUAAGAGCAUAGCUGUUGGGACCCGAAAGAUGGUGAACUAUGCCUGAAUAGGGUGAAGCCAGAGGAAACUCUGGUGGAGGCUCGCAGCGGUUCUGACGUGCAAAUCGAUCGUCAA
rnacentral:rRNA from 1 species